CAAGAAAUAGUUUAUUAAAAUAUUAAUUUUGGAGAUUAAAGAUAGGAAGAUUUCCUUUUCUUGA
rnacentral:tRNA from 1 species